AAAGGAAAGGAAAGGAAAGGGGCGGAAAGGAAAGGAAAGGAAAGGAAAGGAAAGGAAAGGAAAGGAAAGGAAAGGAAAGGAAAGGAAAGGAAAGGAAAGGAAAGGAAAGGAAAGGAAAGGAAAGGAGAGGAAAGGGAGGAGAGGAAAGGGAAAGGAGGAAGGAAAGGAAAGGAAAGGAAAGGAAAGGAAAGGAAAGGAAAGGAAAGGAAAGGAAAGGAAAGGAAAGGAAAGGAAAGGAAAGGAAAGGAAAGGAAAGGAAAGGGAGGAGAGGAAAGGGAAAGGAGGAAGGAAAGGAAAGGAGGAAGGAAAGGAAGGAAGGAGCAAGCUCUGGUACCUGCUGGCAUUUUGGACACAGUCUCCUGAGUGGGAGCUGGGGUGUCCUGAGGUGUGUUUAUGUGGAAAUUGGGAGCUGUGGCCUCCUAGGGUGUGUUUAUGUGGGUACUGUGGGGUCCUGGGGUGUGUUUAUGUGGAAAUUGGGAGCUGUGGCCUCCUAGGGUGUGUUUAUGUGGGUACUGUGGGGUCCUGGGCUGUGUUUGUGCCCUGCCAGGUGGGUGAGCCGUGCCUGCCCAAAGCUCUGCAGGUUCCAGUCUCAGCCCCAUGGGGCUGUGCACCCAGCCAGGCUCCAGCAGCUGACUCUGCUGGGGGAUGUUUCUGUGUCCUUACCCCCGGUGCCCUUUUGUUUCCUCCUCAGUUGACUUUUUGGUGUCCAGUGUGUUUUGUAACCCGUCCUUUGGCCCUGGAGUUGGCAGCAGAGCAGUUCCAUGUGUGGCUGCCUGUGCUGGCCCCAUUUGGGGGCAGGGAUGUGAUGUCCAGGGGACUCUGGGGACAUCCCACAGUCCCACACUCUAACAUUCAAUAAGUUUAUAUAAUUGCUAAUAAUGGGAGAAUUUAGCCUCUGAGUUUCAGAUGCUUAUUUAAAUUUUCUCUGAUUAAAACACUUGAAACAAACCCCUCUCUUCAUUAGACUUUAUGGCAUUCAGCAACUUCAAGAACAAAAUGCUUCCCCCUCCAUUCUUCGCAGAUUUCCUGGGUAAAUUGCUGGAUAAAAUGAUAUUUAGUGUGCCUCAAGGGUUUCUAGAAUUAAGAACCUGGUAGCUGCUUAAAAGUAAAACUGUGCAGGAGUGAGCAGGGCUGGGCAGCUCUCUGGGGCUCAGCUGCUCUCCUUGCCAGCCCCUCCUGAGCGAGUGCCCUCAGAGCAGACCUGUCCUGUCUGCAAAACCGAAGGUGAACUCUGGGACAAAGUGACAAUCUCCACUGGAGCCUCAGUUCCUCCCCGGCUGCUUUCUCAGUGUGGUUGCUGUGGAUGCUCGUGGCCAGGGAUGCUGGAGGGCUCACAGAGAGCCAGCAGCACUUUGUGAGCCCCCUCCACAUUCAGGACCCCCCUCCCCUGCGCUGGCUCCUUCCACUGCCCCCAAGCCCCAAAAAGC
rnacentral:lncRNA from 1 species